UUCAAACCAGUACUGAAGGUAGUAACGUAACUUCAAACCAGUACUGAAGGUAGUAACGUAACUUCAAACAGUACUGAAGGGAGUAACGAUACUUCAAACCAGUACUGAAGGUAGUAACGAUACUUCAAACCAGUACUGAAGGUAGUAACGAUACUUCAAACCAGAACUGAAGCUAGUAACGUUACUUCAAACCAGUACUGAAGGUAGUAACGUUACUUCAAACAGUACUGAAGGUAGUAACGUUACUUCAAACAGUACUGAAGGUAGUAACGAUACUUCUUAAUGUGCAUCCCACCGACCGGAGACCGAACCUCCACCAACCGGGUCCCGGGGAUUUUUUAACCCACCUUCCGUCGGUGGCACCGGGCCCACGUACAGGACCGAGGCCCGCUCGCCGUCGCAGGAAACCCGCCUGCCCAGCAGGUCGGUCGGUACCGCCGGUCCGUCCGGUUCGGUCCGGUUAGCUCCCAUCGAAGCCCCGCUUUCUGUCAUGAGCGGCAGAAUGAGUCGGUAGCUCGCGCCGGAUGUGAACCACGAUCCCCCCAAAGGAUGAAAAACACAAUAUAAAGGGAGUAGAUUACUGCGGCGGGUUAGAGUAGAUAAUAUAGAUAAUAUAUAAUACAGGUGUUCUAGCUGAUGCCUCGCGUGCAGGUCAGCGCUGCAACCCAAAACAUUAUACGUCUCCGGCUCACCGGAAGCGACGGAUUACGAGGUUGCACCGAUUUUGCACAAAUGUUUUCACAAUUAAACGGAUGGUAAACACGUAUGAUAUGAAAUAUACAUGUAAAUGUACAAACUGUGUCUUUAACCCCUAUGAUUCCCGAUAUGAUGUGUCUGCAGCGGU
ensembl:lncRNA